CCCUUAGAUGUUCUGGGCCGCACGCGCGCUACACUGACGAACGCAACGAGCUUAUAAUAACCUUGGCCGAAAGGUCUGGGUAAUCUCCAAAUUUCGUCGUGAUGGGGAUAGAUUAUUGCAAUUAUUAAUCUUCAACGAGGAAUGCCUAGUAAGCGCAAGUCAUCAGCUUGCGUUGAUUACGUCCCUGCCCUUUGUACACACCGCCCGUCGCUCCUACCGAUUGAAUGGUCCGGUGAAGCGUUCGGACCGUGGCCUUUGGACGGUUCGCCGUCUGUUGGCUGCGGGAAGUUCGUUAAACCUUAUCAUUUAGAGGAAGGAGAAGUCGUAACA
rnacentral:rRNA from 1 species